rnacentral:rRNA from 1 species
UACGAAGGGGGCUAGCGUUGCUCGGAAUUACUGGGCGUAAAGCGCGCGUAGGUGGCUUCGUAAGUCCGUUGUGAAAGUCAAAGGCUCAACCUUUGAAAGCCGAUGGAUACUGCGGAGCUAGAGUACGGAAGAGGCGAGUGGAAUUCCUGGUGUAGCGGUGGAAAUGCGCAGAUAUCAGGAGGAACACCAAUAGCGAAGGCAGCUCGCUGGGACGUUACUGACACUGAGGCGCGAAAGCGUGGGGAGCGAACAGG